UGCAAGUCGAGCGGAUGAGGGGUGCUUGCACUCCGAUUCAGCGGCGGACGGGUGAGUAAUGCCUAGGAAUCUGCCUGGUAGUGGGGGACAACGUUUCGAAAGGAACGCUAAUACCGCAUACGUCCUACGGGAGAAAGCAGGGGACCUUCGGGCCUUGCGCUAUCAGAUGAGCCUAGGUCGGAUUAGCUAGUUGGUGGGGUAAAGGCUCACCAAGGCGACGAUCCGUAACUGGUCUGAGAGGAUGAUCAGUCACACUGGAACUGAGACACGGUCCAGACUCCUACGGGAGGCAGCAGUGGGGAAUAUUGGACAAUGGGCGAAAGCCUGAUCCAGCCAUGCCGCGUGUGUGAAGAAGGUCUUCGGAUUGUAAAGCACUUUAAGUUGGGAGGAAGGGCAUUAACCUAAUACGUUAGUGUUUUGACGUUACCGACAGAAUAAGCACCGGCUAACUUCGUGCCAGCAGCCGCGGUAAUACGAAGGGUGCAAGCGUUAAUCGGAAUUACUGGGCGUAAAGCGCGCGUAGGUGGUUCAGCAAGUUGGAUGUGAAAGCCCCGGGCUCAACCUGGGAACUGCAUCCAAAACUACUGAGCUAGAGUAUGGUAGAGGGUGGUGGGAUUUCCUGUGUAGCGGUGAAAUGCGUAGAUAUAGGAAGGAACACCAGUGGCGAAGGCGACCACCUGGACUGAUACUGACACUGAGGUGUGAAAGCGUGGGGGAGCAAACAGGAUUAGAUACCCUG
rnacentral:rRNA from 1 species